UACGUAGGCAGCAAGCGUUGUUCGGAGUUAUUGGGUUUAAAGGGUGCGUAGGCGGUCUAUUAAGUCAGUUGUGAAAUACGGCAGCUCAACUGUCGAGGUGCAAUUGAUACUGAUGGACUUGAGUACUGAUGAGGUAAGCGGAAUGGACGGUGUAGCGGUGAAACGCUUAGAUAUCGUCCAGAACACCGAUAGCGAAGGCAGCUUACUAAGGAGUAACUGACGCUGAGGCACGAAAGUGUGGGGAUCAAACAGG
rnacentral:rRNA from 1 species